rnacentral:tRNA from 1 species
AUCUCAAUAAUAUAACAUAUUAUAUUAAUUUGCAAAAUUUAAAAUGAAAAAUAAAUACUCUUGAGAUU